AUUUUAACGAUCUUUGGUCAUUAACUGAAAAAGGGGCAAAAUUUUGCCCGCUCCCAAAUCACCAAUGGCAACAGCAACAGCCGCCUUUUCUUUGUUCUCUGCGAACUCUAUUUUCUCUAACAAACAGACCCCUUUUUUUCCUCUCUCUCUUCCACAUAAACGCACUCUCGCUGCUUCUCAAAACCGCCCCGUUGCACGAAAAUCUUCCGAUAAUGGCACCGUUGCAGGUAUAAUUGGCGUGGGUUUGGCCUCCUUAGCGGGACCCGCCUCAGCUUCGGGUUUACCGUUGCUGGGUCAACUCAGUGAACCCGCCAACGCAUUAUCUUUGCCCACUUGGGCUAUUCAUGUUUCCAGUGUUGUUGAGUGGUGAGUUCCCCGCUCCUUCCGUCUCGUAACGCUUCAGUUCAUUUCGGGUCAUUUUGUGGCGAUUAUUAUCCUUACUUUGAGAUGUUUAUAGUGGGUUUCAUUCGGUGUGGUCUAAUCUUGGACUUUUUAUUGAUUUGGUUUAAAUUAAGUUAGCGUAAUACAGAUCAACUCAUAAUCUUACUGAAAAAUGAACAAUUGUACUCAACUUAGCUAACGUGCUGAUUUUUGUUUCCAUUUGGUUAAUGAAAAAAUAGUGACCAAAUAUGACACUUGUUUCAAUAGUUAAACUUUCAGAAAUGUGCCAUGGACAAUGCUUUCAACUAGCCACCUUUUUUGGGUGAUUUAGGCCCGAAUCAUUUCUUAUCAUGGUAUCAUAGCCUGCUCUGGUUUCCAUCUGCUACCUGCACAUGUUCAGUCCUGCAAGCUUCCUUCAGGGCGUGAGGUUGUCCUGCGUAAGGGCGCUUUAUAGCCUUGGGCACUCUUUCCUUUGAGUUAGGUUUGGUCUAUUUUCCCACAUUGGUUAGGUAUGUGUUAACGUGGCCUUUAUAAAGAUUUUGGGCAAUCGUUCUUCGAGCUAGCUUUGGGUGAGUUAGGCCUGGUCAUUUUCUUAUCACCUUUCCCCUAUGCUUUCUCAACAACAGUACAGGAUGCUUCUUCACACUUUGUUUCAUUUUCUUUGUACCCUUAUUUUAAAUGUUUUAAUGGCGAAGUGUUUGCUAACAGGAUUACAGCAAUGGCUUUGGUGUGGCAUUAUGGAGAGAAAUCUGGGUUUGAAACUUGGAAGGGACUCUCUUGGGGUAUGGUGAGUUACUCUGCUGAGUAUUGCAAAUUUGAUGUCAUUGUUUAGAAAAUUGGAUGAUUGAAAUCAUCUUUUGAUUAAAUUUUACACCGUGGUGAUGAUUCCUAGUAGAUUUAUUCAGAAUCAGAAGCUGUUUGCUUCAUCAAAACAUUCACUGCUGAUAAAACGAUAUGUGCUUAUGUAUUGCGAGACUGAGAAUGGCAUAAAAUUGCUAUGGUAAGCAAAAAAAAAAUGAUGCAAUUCAACUGGCAUGCAAAUCAGAAUUGGUGCUUUAAUUCCAUUAGGUGUUUCUUCUGUAACUUCUGUUAAUGUUUUUAUGUAUACUGAUUUGUUGAGCUGCAUACUUUUGAGUGCUUGCAACUCUAUGUUUGUUAUUUUUUAUGCUAUACCUUGGGUUCUUUGGGUCUCAAAACUGAUGACUGAAUUUGAUUGUCUUCUUGAUUUCUUGCCUGUUUCUCUGAUUCACUUGGGUGUUGAGACAAGUAAAGAAUCUGGAGUUUGAACAUUUAAGAAGAAUUUCCUUCUUUAGUUUUGGUAUUACUGUGUCUGCCAUACUUGAACUUAAUAUGGUGUACUCAGUUUGUUCAUUUGGGGUUUUGAUUUAACUACAUGCCUAACAUAUCCUUGUCUAGGUCUGUAAUUUUUGCAGUAUUGUUGUAAUUAAAAUCUAUCUGAUUCUCAUUUUAUUUUUUUUUCUAAUAUAAUUAACAAAUUUAGGUACCUCUGCUUGGUGGAGCAUUUUGUGCAUGUACAUGGCAUUUCUUUUAUAAUUCUGAAUCUCUAGAGGUAAGAAUGGUUCUUUCUUUCUACUGUGAAAAAAAAGAUUUGUGUUUAUAGUGACACAUAUUAGAAAUUAAUCAAAUUGAUUGGAAUACAAGAAAUGACUGACACAUGAACUAAUUAAAUGAAAGUUUAGUCUCAGUGGUGAUGCAUGAGUUUGUUGUGGAUAACUUUAUCAUACUGGGAACAUGAAAUUUGAGUUUUGGAAAAUUCUGGUUGUCCUUGUACAGUCUGAGAACUGAACCUGAAUUUUCUAGAUAGUUAUAAAAAAUUACACUAUUAUUGUGUAAUUUAUUAUUAAAACAACCUUAACAUUCUGUGUAAUUAUUGCGCAAUAAUUAGUAUGUGACCUUAUGUAAUUGGAACAGUUGUUUCCUGGGUGGUUGACAACAAAACUAAUUUCAGUCCCAAUACUUAACAUUGGCCAUAGUACAAGCUCAAUUGAUGUCAAUUUUUGGGCCCAGGGAACUAUUGCUAUGCCAGGCUGUUUUUAGACUAAUAAAACCUCUUUGGUUGCUUGCUUAAUAUUUCUUUAUGACCAACCUAACCAAACUUAUCUAUAAAUGGCUUGAGUGCACUCUGCAGAAUGGAUCAGAAAUAAGCAUCCUUUGUAUAACCACAGUGCUUUUCAUGGUGUAGAAAAGGAGUUCAUACUGUCAUAACUCAUAAUACUUUUAGGGCAUCUCGUAUCUCAUUUAGUUUAUAUUAAAGGUACUUAUUGAAUUGCAUAAUUUAUCUAUGCAUGAAAGACUGCGGUUACAAGUUUGCUAGGCCCCGUUGUACUCUUUAGACCCUUCCCCAAAUUUCAAUCUAAUCAUCUCCCACAGUUGAACUAAAUUUAGAGUGUUGAUUUUGGUGAGUUGUAGGUGUUGGUGGCUCUUCAAGCAGCAUUGACAGUGAUAGGUAAUGCCACAAUGUGCAUUGCUGCAUUCCGAAUAUACAAAUCAACAGAGGAACGUCCCAAGAAUCUCUGAGAGGUUGCGGGUCAGUACGCCACACAGUGUCUGAAAAUGUUGUUUCCUGUAUCUGUUGUUUACUUGCAAGGUAAGGCUACCUCAGUAGAGCUCUAACAAAAAAUUGAACUGAUGAUAUUACAUGAACAAACACACGCAUAUAUAUAUAUAUGCGUACAUACAUGUACAUGUAUAGCUGUGUAUGUGUGGUGUUGUUACAGAUAUAUACAAAACAUUUUACUUGCUUGCUUUCAGAUGGGAUAUACCAUGCAGGAAACUUCACAAUUCAGGACAAAAGUGGGUUCUGUGAGUUAGCUAGAACUUACAAGUAAAAUGUAGUUGUCUUAUUAUUAUUAUUAUUCUUUAAAAUAUAACUAUGGGAAGGUGUAAUUCUGUCCUGUGCUUGCUGGAGAAUGGUUGGGAGGAGCCUCACAGUCAAAAUGCCAGUUUAUUUUGAGUUGUAUCUAUAGUAUUUGAUAUCAACCAUGAUGCU
rnacentral:misc_RNA from 1 species